CCCGAACCUUGCAUAUAUUAUGCAUUGUCCUUACCAACUGAGCUAAGCUUACGAGGACAAAACUAAUUGAUUUAUAUAUGAAGAGAAUGAGCUUUAUAAAUAUAAAGUGAUAAAAACAAUCGCUACAAGAAAAGUAACAAAAUAUGGCUAAAAUUUUCAAGUUUGUUUAUGUUAUGAUUAUCAUUAUUUCCCUUCUGUUGGUUGCAAUGAAUGCUCAAGGGUACUGCUUAGUUGAUGCUGAUUGUGUAACACUUGUCUGCAACUUUGAUGAGAAACGGAAGUGUUUGCGAAGCACUUGUGUAUGCCGUAAAUUUCGGUUUACAGGAUUUUAUUAUGAGCAGCUUCAUUGAUGCAUUUGAAAGAGAAACAAUGAAUUUGCAGAAGCAGAAGCAGAAGCAGGAGGUUCUGGAAGCCAAAAUGGAAUUUGUAAUGGCCAAGAAAGAUGAAAUGAGAAGUGAUAUCAAGGCCAUUUUGAACCUUUUGAAAACAAUAAACCCUUGGGAAUAUUUAUUUACCCUUUAUUUUUUUUUUUGCACAAUCUUUUUGUUUUGAAUUUUAUUAUGUAUCAAAACAUUUUUACUGUUUCUAAAUGAAUUUAUUUCUCAGUA